rnacentral:rRNA from 1 species
UACGUAGGGUGCGAGCGUUAAUCGGAUUUACUGGGCGUAAAGCGUGCGCAGGCGGCCCGUUAAGACAGGUGUGAAAUCCCUGGGCUCAACCUAGGAAUUGCGCUUGUGACUGGCGGGCUCGAGUACGGUAGAGGGGGGUGGAAUUCCUGGUGUAGCAGUGAAAUGCGUAGAGAUCAGGAGGAACACCGAUGGCGAAAGCAGCCCCCUGGGCCUGUACUGACGCUCAUGCACGAAAGCGUGGGGAGCAAACAGG